UUUUACGUGGUCAAAUAGACUAUAUUCUUGAAAAAUCCCUCUAGCUCUGCCCUGCUGCUUUCACUUUUCAUGAUUCUAGAAAAUGCCAAACAAAUGAAGAGUUGAUGAUGUCAACCAACUCAAAUGGAUUUGUGUCACAUGCGUAGUCCUAGACGCGUUCCUAUAUUUGAGCUUGCCCAUUUCAAUUCCUAGGUGCUCUGCUCCGUACAAAUUAUUUGAUCUACUCUCAAUUUUGCUAAGACAGGCAAGUGGUCAUAUUCAAUUCUCUAAUUCUGAUUCAGGAGUAAGAUGACUUUGGUUGCUUGAGAAUCUAACAUAGUUACCUGACCUUAAGAAGUUGCUUGAUAUCGAUUUUGAAAAUGUCAAGGCUAGUUCAUCUUCAAAUCCACAGAAUCAUCCACUAGUACAUCAGUUCCGGUAAGCUGUCUGGGUGUUCAUGUGAUAGUUGUUGUUAAUUUUCAAGUUAAAGAAGAAACCAGGAAGGAACCUUUGGGGUCAUUGGAAGUGGAGAAAGAAUCAUGUUGCCAUGUGGGGUUAAUUUGAUUAAAUUAAUGCCCCUUAUGCCUAGGUGCUCUUUUGUCUUUUGUACAAAAGUUGGAUCACCAUGAAUAUAUGAUAGUUAAUAGGGGAAACAUAAAGGAAAUAUCCCAAGCUGAUAUGUUUCUUUUUAUACAUAAACACAAGAAUGGAGAAUUGGAUGAGGAAAGCAUGAGAAUUUUGUUUGAAUAUAAGCAGCAAAUAUCUCAAAAUUUAGAGAAUUCUGAGAAUCUUGAAGCUCAAAAUGAAAUCUUUGCUCAUGUAAUGGGGCACAACAAAGCUGGCCAUGUGUCUCUUUAUGAAAGAGGUGCGACUGCUUCAGAUUAGAAGAAAAAACCACCUUCAUUUGAUUCCAUGGAUGCCCAAAGAAUUGUUGAAAAUGCUAGAAGAGUUGUUAUGGAUGAGAUGAAAGAAGUGAAAAAUGAAUUAGAAUAGGAGAUGCAAAAAAAGUUGGAGCAGCAAGUACAAUCUAUCGAGACUGAAAUGAUAGAUCAAGUUCUAACUAUCAAAUCAGCAAUUUUGCAGCAAAUUAACUUGUUGAUCUCACAAUUACAAAUGAGGUUUCCUAGGCCAGCAACUUCAACCAUAAAUGACCGGCCAUCAACUUCUUCACAAAUGGUAAGGAAGGCUAGGAACUGCAAUGUCAACUGGUUUUGUUAGGUUGGAGAAUGGACAAAUAAAUAUGUAUAGAGAGGAAUUAGAGAGAAUAAGAGAGAAAGAGAGAGAGAUGACUAAAAUUAGUUAAGGAUUAGUUCUACUAUAAACAUUUGAUUCCAUACGGUAAACAUUGUAAAGACCUUUGAAAAUGAUUUUUAAAGCAUUUAAUUUUUGAGGC